UACAGAGGGGGCAAGCGUUUAUUCGGAAUUAUUGGGCGUAAAGGGCGCGUAGGCGGCUUUGCAAGUGACGGGUGAAAGCCCUCGGCUUAACCGAGGAACUGCCUGUCAGACUGUGAGGCUUGAGACCGGGAGAGGUGAGUGGAACUCCGAGUGUAGAGGUGAAAUUCGUAGAUAUUCGGAAGAACACCAGUGGCGAAGGCGGCUCACUGGUCCGGUACUGACGCUGAGGUGCGAAAGCGUGGGGAGCAAACAGG
rnacentral:rRNA from 1 species